AGAGGUAGAGGUUGCGUGUUUUAUGAGUAAUUUUUUGGAUGUGACAGGCACAGUAGAAGGAAAAUGAAAGGAAAAAACGCCGAAAGAUUCAGGUUCCCUGUAGCCGGUUUCUUGGGCAUACAGUUAAGAACUGUAUGACUGUCAUCAGUUGCUGAUGGGGCGCUAUCCGAU
rnacentral:ncRNA from 1 species